rnacentral:rRNA from 1 species
GACGAACGCUGGCGGCGUGCCUAAUACAUGCAAGUCGAGCGCGGGAAGCCGUCUGAACCCUUCGGGGGGACGACGGUGGAAUGAGCGGCGGACGGGUGAGUAACACGUAAAGAACCUGCCCAUAGGUCUGGGAUAACCACGAGAAAUCGGGGCUAAUACCGGAUGUGUCAUCGGACCGCAUGGUCCGCUGAUGAAAGGCGCUCCGGCGUCGCCCAUGGAUGGCUUUGCGGUGCAUUAGCUAGUUGGUGGGGUAACGGCCCACCAAGGCGACGAUGCAUAGCCGACCUGAGAGGGUGAUCGGCCACACUGGGACUGAGACACGGCCAAGACUCCUACGGGAGGCAGCAGUAGGGAAUCUUCCACAAUGGACGAAAGUCUGAUGGAGCAACGCCGCGUGAACGAUGAAGGCUUUCGGGUCGUAAAGUUCUGUUGUAAGGGAAGAACAAGUGCCGCAGGCAAUGGCGGCACCUUGACGGUACCUUGCGAGAAAGCCACGGCUAACUACGUGCCAGCCGCCGCCGUAAAAC